CAGCGAUACCUUGCCAUACACAGAAAAUGCAGGGAGUGUUGUACCAUAUCAUGCAAACCUUAGCACUAAAGGUUAUAGAUCCCUUAUAUACAGUGGUGACCAUGAUCUGUGGCCCGCACAUUGAAACUCAAGCGUGGAUAAGAUCUCUACAUUACCCAAUUAUUGACGAUUGGAGACAGUGGAUUCAUGAAGGCCAAGUUGCCGGUUACACAAGGACUACGCAAAUAAGAUGACAUUUGCAACAGUGAAGGCAAGAAAUUCCUGUUUCUAUUGCUUCAGUGCAAGAUUUGUUCACAUGGUAACGACUAACAACAAGGUUAGAACAUUCUUGGGACUAACUAGCACCCCUUUUUUCUUUUU